CCUACGGGUGGCAGCAGUGAGGAAUAUUGGUCAAUGGCCGUAAGGCUGAACCAGCCAAGUCGCGUGAAGGAAGAAGGAUCUAUGGUUUGUAAACUUCUUUUAUAGGGGAAUAAAGGUAUCCACGUGUGGAUAUUUGCAUGUACCCUAUGAAUAAGCAUCGGCUAACUCCGUGCCAGCAGCCGCGGUAAUACGGAGGAUGCGAGCGUUAUCCGGAUUUAUUGGGUUUAAAGGGUGCGUAGGUUGUUUUUUAAGUCAGCGGUGAAAGUUUGUGGCUCAACCAUAAAAUUGCCGUUGAAACUGGAAGACUAGAGUGUGCGAGAGGUAUGCGGAAUGCGUGGUGUAGCGGUGAAAUGCAUAGAUAUCACGCAGAACCCCGAUUGCGAAGGCAGCAUACCGGUGCACAACUGACGCUCAGGCACGAAAGCGUGGGUAUCGAACAGGAUUAGAUACCCUUGUAGUC
rnacentral:rRNA from 1 species